rnacentral:rRNA from 1 species
UACGUAGGGUGCAAGCGUUAAUCGGAAUUACUGGGCGUAAAGCGUGCGCAGGCGGUGAUGUAAGACAGUUGUGAAAUCCCCGGGCUCAACCUGGGAACUGCAUCUGUGACUGCAUCGCUGGAGUGCGGCAGAGGGGGAUGGAAUUCCGCGUGUAGCAGUGAAAUGCGUAGAUAUGCGGAGGAACACCGAUGGCGAAGGCAAUCCCCUGGGCCUGCACUGGACGCUCAUGCACGAAAGCGUGGGGAGC